CUGUGGUCAUCAAGGUCCCAGCUGGUACAUUGAUCUUGAAGUGUGGGGUUAUCUAGGUCCAAGCUGGUACAUUGAUCUAGAGGUCUGGGGUUAUCUAGGUCCAAGCUGGUACAUUGAUCUAGAGGUCUGUGGUUAUCAAGGUCCCAGGUGGUACAUUGAUCUAGAGGUCUGGGGUUAUCUAGGUCCAAG